rnacentral:lncRNA from 1 species
AAGAACUGAGAAAAGAAGAGAAGUUAUCCUUUCUUUGAGUCAGUGGUACCGACAAUUCGAUAUUUCCUGCAUGACCUACACCUUAGACAUAUAUAUCUUAUUUGUUUGAGCAGUUCUAUUCAAAAUUUGAGAAAAAGAUCCACACUAAGGAAGCAGAGAAGAGUAAUUUGCAAGCCAAAACUAAGGUAAGAUUUUGUAUCAUAUUAUGAAUUCAAACUUUCAUUGGUGG